rnacentral:misc_RNA from 1 species
GAUGAAGAACGAAGCGAAAUGCGAUAAGUAGUGUGAAUUGCAGAAUUCAGUGAAUCAUCGAAUCUUUGAACGCACAUUGCGCCCCUUGGUAUCCCGAGGGGCAUGCCUGUUCGAGCGUCAUUUCACCACUCAAGCCUGGCUUGGUGUUGGGCGACGUCCUCUUUGGGGACGCGCCUCGAAACGCUCGGCGGCGUGGCACCGGCUUUAAGCGUAGCAGAAUCUUUCGCUUUGGAAGUCGGGGCCCCGUCUGCCGGAAGACCUGCUCGCAAGGUUGACCUCGGAUCAGGUAGGGAUACCCGCUGAACUUAAGCAUAUCAAUAAGCGGAGGA